GGAAUAUUGCGCAAUGGGGGGAACCCUGACGCAGCGACGCCGCGUGGGUGAGGAAGGCUUUCGGGUCGUAAAGCUCUGUCAGAAGGGAAGAAAUGCUUAUAGGCUAAUAUCUUAUAAGUUUGACGGUACCUUCAAAGGAAGCACCGGCUAACUCCGUGCCAGCAGCCGCGGUAAUACGGAGGGUGCAAGCGUUGUUCGGAAUCACUGGGCGUAAAGGGCGCGUAGGCGGCUUGGCAAGUCAGAUGUGAAAGCCCACGGCUUAACCGUGGAAGUGCAUUUGAAACUGCUUGGCUUGAGUAUCAGAGGGGAAAGUGGAAUUCCCGGUGUAGAGGUGAAAUUCGUAGAUAUCGGGAGGAAUACCGGUGGCGAAGGCGACUUUCUGGCUGAAUACUGACGCUGAGGCGCGAAAGCGUGGGGAGCAAACAGGAUUA
rnacentral:rRNA from 1 species